CCAUGAAUUUAUCGCUCACAUUGCGCGUGCUAUCGUGCAAGUCAUCUGUGAGUAUGUUUUCGAAAUUAUGAUUUCCAAGAAACCCGGAUAAAGCUGCAUAGAUACGUAAUUAACAGCAAGUCCUUGUUCCUCAUCCACAAGUGGCUUUGGAUUUGUUAUUCGUAUACACAUCCAUUGUUACAAGCAUACAGAUCUGUAACACGAUGGAAGCAGUACAUCUGCCAUCAAUUGUCUUUUUUUUUUUAAUAAUGAAUAUAUUUAGCUAUUCAUGUUUUCAAUGCUGUGUAUGGGUACAUGUUAUGUACGCCUCUGCUUAGAUAAAUUAAAUAAAGAUUAUAUGAUUGAAACAUUUAA
rnacentral:sRNA from 1 species